rnacentral:ncRNA from 1 species
UUAAUUUUGUCAUUUACUGAUCAGUUUAAUUCUGGCUGUUUAUUUUAGUUUUAUAAACAUUUUAUACAUGUGAAUUUUGAAUAAUAUAUUUUAUUAUAGCAGUAUUUAAUAUUAAAUAUAAAGUAAAUUUUGAUUUGGUUAUUUAUUUUUAUAUUGUACAUGUUUGUGCCAGCAUACGCGGUUAUACAAUAAAUAUAAAUUAAAAUUUUUGGAUUAGUUUAGUUAAAAUUUUAAAUAAAAAAUUAAUAAUUUUAUUUUUAGGUGAAAUUUAAAUUUUGUUUAUUUUUUUUUUUGGUUCUGAUAAAUUUAAAAUUUAAACUAGGAUUAGAUACCCUAUUAUUUUAAAUAUAAUAUUUUCUAGGUAGUAAUAGUUUUAUUCUUUAAACCUAAAGAAUUUGGCGGUGUUUUAUUCUAUUCAGAGGAAUUUGUCCCGUGAUCGAUAAUCCUCGUUUUAUCUUGCUUUAUUUAAUUAAUAUGUAUAUCGCCGUUAUAAGUUUAUUUUUUAAAAAUAUUUACUUAGUAAUUUAUUUAUUUAUAUUUCAGGUCAAGGUGCAGUUUAUAAUAAAGUGGUGAUUAAUUACAAUAUUAUUAAUAAACGGAUAUAAUUUUUAUAAUAUUAUUGAAGGUGGAUUUGAUAGUAAUUUUGAUUAUAUUUUUAUUAUGAUUUUAGUUCUAAGAUGAGUACAUAUCGCCCGUCACUCUCAUUAUUGAGAUAAGUCGUAACAUAGUAAGUGUACUUGAAAGUGUACUUAGAUUUUU